rnacentral:rRNA from 1 species
GAUGAACGCUGGCGGCGUGCCUAAUACAUGCAAGUCGAGCGAACGGACGAGGAGCUUGCUUCUCUGACGUUAGCGGCGGACGGGUGAGUAACACGUGGAUAACCUACCUAUAAGACUGGGAUAACUUCGGGAAACCGGAGCUAAUACCGGAUGAUAUCUUGAACCGCAUGGUUCAAUAGUGAAAGACGGUUUUGCUGUCACUUAUAGAUGGAUCCGCGCUGCAUUAGCUAGUUGGUAAGGUAACAGCUUACCAAGGCAACGAUGCGUAGCCGACCUGAGAGGGUGAUCGGCCACACUGGAACUGAGACACGGUCCAGACUCCUACGGGAGGCAGCAGUAGGGAAUCUUCCGCAAUGGGCGAAAGCCUGACGGAGCAACGCCGCGUGAGUGAUGAAGGUCUUCGGAUCGUAAAACUCUGUUAUUAGGGAAGAACAAAUGUGUAAGUAACUGUGCACAUCUUGACGGUACCUAAUCAGAAAGCCACGGCUAACUACGUG